CUUUCCUAGAGUGACAAAAGCACUGAUGCAACAGUAAUUGCAAAACUUUUCCUCAGGUGAAUGCUGUCAUAGAUUCAAGAGCUCCUACAACAACAACAACAAAAAAAAUCAGGUCCAAGUGAUAUAACUCAUGAGCAACAUCACAACACAGCCGAGGCAGAGAUGAAUAUACCUCGCCCACACUCUGUUUCAAGCUUCUGUACAGCUGUCAGUGAAACACAACCCCCUUCAACCCCUCAGAGCCUUACAAAUGCAAUACUGAAUGACCCACAAACACACCCGAAACUCCCCUAGCAGAAGGCCACCACUCCACUCAAGCCCCAAGCACUCAGCCCCGUCGCUAGGGCGCCUAUACUCACCAGGG